CAGGUAAACCUGGAUGGCGAGCUGGUUUUUCCACCUGCCAGUGUGUACAGAGAUACCGACCCGAUGAGAAUAUUUUAUUCCGGACCAACAGCGGGCUCAAAGUUCAUAUUUUGGGAAAGCCACUUCACCGCAACCGACUAUUUCGUCCAGUUUAACCCAUCUCUCGCCUACAACCAAGAAAAUGUCCGUAUAAGAAGUGGCGGAUACAUCUCAAUACAAGCCAAGUGGACACGGGAUAUCGAUAUUCAAAUAUUUAUGAAACUGGUGAACAUUUCCAUAAUAAAGACACUUCGUUCCAUUGGAGAAACAGGUAUCUUAAUAAAGGUGUACAGCAAUGGAUUCGCGAUUGGCUACUCAAACAAAAGCACGGGUGGUGUCAUGGACUAUACACUGAAAAAUAUACCACUGGACACAUUUCACGUAGAACCGCUACCAAUUUCAGUAAUUGAUUUCACCAUAGUAAGUAACAAGAUUACUUACU